rnacentral:piRNA from 1 species
UGAUCAGCUGUCUCCGUAGCAUUGCCACC